UAUAACUUGAUGAUUGUAAUUAGCUCAGUCGUGAUAUAUCUGUUCGAUUACCUAUGAUGGUCCCUUCAAAGUGACAAAAAAUAUAUUUUGAAUUGAUAAAUUAUAGGUUUAAUCAGAAUUUUUGAUUUGUGAAAUACUCCUCUUUCUAAAAUUCAAACAUGAGAUUGAUCUUAAAGUCAAGUUAGAAAUUUUUUCGAGCAUAGAAUUUAACGUUUCAUUUUUUAUAUCUAUUUCUUCAGGUUCUUAUCUUUUUCAUCUAUCAAUUUUUUAUUGUUCUAAUUUAUGUAGCACGGUUUGAAUUUUAAGAUUCAAACUAUUGAAGUUUGAUUGUGAAUUUAGGGAUGAAAUUCGAAACAUGCCCACAUAAAUUGGCAUGUAGGGAAUGUUUCUUUCAUCCACUUUUUAUGGUUGAUUAAAGUUUUCAAGCUCUUUUAUAUGGUUGUGAUAUUGUGAAAUUACUACUCUACUAUAUUAGAAGUAAGCAAAUUUCAACAUGCUUUGUUUCACUAAAGGUAUUUUCUUCUUUUUACUACUAUUGUUUGCGUGUCAUUUAUUAGCUGAACGGGCUUUUGCGUGUCACAACAAGCAUGUAUAGUCCAGUUCUUUUCAGUUCCUUCUCCUACUUUCCAUUUUCGAUAUUCUAAAUCAUCUCACAGUGCUAAUUUGUGGAUCUUGUACUGCUUUUUGGUAUUGAAACUGCAGGUAUUUUGCUGUCACAACACCACAAAGAAGGCAAAAUGCAGCACUAUGUAAAUAGUCUAGAAUCCAUCAAAAAGGACUCGGCAAAAUGGGAAAGUCCAGGGUCACAUCAGAAACUAGAAACCUGGAGGGUAUAUCUCUACUAUGGGGUGGUAAUACUGAGCUUCUCAUGCAGUCAAUCACGAACCCACCACAACAUCAAAGGAGUCAGAAUCGAUGCAGAAUGAGCUAAAUCAAUAUCAAACCAAGAUAUGUUCUUACCCACUAGAGCUAAUACCCAUUCAAGAUGGGGCUUUCAGCAAAAAGAAGCAGCACAUCCACCCACCGGAGAGCACAAAAAAAAAAAAAAGAACAAGUUAGUGCAGUAUUCGAAUAGGAGAUAGAGAAGUAGAAAGUACUCACUAUUGAAAGCUGAUACACAAGCAGUGGGAGCAAAGCAAAACCAUUAAUGAUCCAGAGGAAAAGAAGCAAAAGCUGGUGAUUGAAUAGCGUUGGCAACGUCAGGUUCAGGUGCUCAGGGCGGAAGGAAAUAAAGGCUGAAUUAGGAAACCCUUGUUCUUAGGGUAUAUGUAAUAGAGAUAGUUGGUCAAAUCGGGUUUUCGAAUUGGGCUAUAGAUUAGAUUUUUGUUUCUUAGUUUAGUUGUUUGUUUUUAUUUUGGACCAGUUGCCUUCGUUGUGUAUUUGAUUUUCUUAAUUAAUCAAUAAAAUUUAAAAUUUGUUUUUUAAAAAAAAA